AUUGAACGCUGGCGGCAUGCCUUACACAUGCAAGUCGAACGGCAGCGGGGGAGAAGCUUGCUUUUCCUGCCGGCGAGUGGCGAACGGGUGAGUAAUACAUCGGAACGUGCCCUGUAGUGGGGGAUAACUAGUCGAAAGAUUAGCUAAUACCGCAUACGACCUGAGGGUGAAAGUGGGGGACCGCAAGGCCUCACGCUAUAGGAGCGGCCGAUGUCUGAUUAGCUAGUUGGUGGGGUAAAGGCCUACCAAAGCGACGAUCAGUAGCUGGUCUGAGAGGACGAUCAGCCACACUGGGACUGAGACACGGCCCAGACUCCUACGGGAGGCAGCAGUGGGGAAUUUUGGACAAUGGGCGAAAGCCUGAUCCAGCAAUGCCGCGUGUGUGAAGAAGGCCUUCGGGUUGUAAAGCACUUUUGUCCGGAAAGAAAUGGCUCUGGUUAAUACCUGGGGUCGAUGACGGUACCGGAAGAAUAAGGACCGGCUAACUACGUGCCAGCCGCCGCCGUAA
rnacentral:rRNA from 1 species